CGUGGGUAACCUGCCUUAUAGUGGGGGAUAGCCUUUCGAAAGGAAGAUUAAUACCGCAUAAGAUUGUAGUAUCGCAUGAUAUAGCAAUUAAAGGAGCAAUUCGCUAUAAGAUGGACCCGCGUCGCAUUAGCUAGUUGGUGAGGUAAUGGCUCACCAAGGCGACGAUGCGUAGCCGACCUGAGAGGGUGAUCGGCCACAUUGGGACUGAGACACGGCCCAGACUCCUACGGGAGGCAGCAUGG
rnacentral:rRNA from 1 species